GUUAAGAAACUUUUUUUCCGUGGCAGAGUUUGAAUCUCCUUCAGGGAUAUUUUGAGGGGAUGGGAAGAGAAGGGGACUUAAAUGUGCCUCACACGUUUUCCUACAGGAGUUUUGCAGAGGUUCCCUGGAGCCUUUUAAAAGAAAGCUGUUUAGAAUGCAAAAUUGUCGGGGAGACUGUAGAGGAAGGAGGAAUAUAUUUAUAGCUGAAGCGCGUUUGUAAACUCAGCGUCUGCUUUGGGAUUAAUUUUUAAUAUGUGCCAGGCAUUCUUCUGAUUUCCAUCCUGGCUUGGUUGUGGCUCUGUCUCCCCGUCUGUGAAGCUCGGGUGUUCUCUGGUCUAAAGCCGGAGUUGUCACAGCCUGGGCGUUUUCUGUUUCGGCUUAUGGCUUUUUUUUUUUUUUUUUUUCCUUUUCCUGAAUGAGUGUCCUUUGUGUAACCCCAGUAAUUCAGAAAUCCUGCAGUCAUAGGGACUGCCCUGUCACGUGACUUAGGUACUAGGUGCUGCCUGUGAUUGGUCAGCUCCUAGUUGGCGGGUCCCUAUAAGAGGUCCCGCUUCGGCUGUCCAGCCAGUCUCCUCCUGUCUGAAGUGUGGCUCAGCAGGGGCAGAGGUGGGGGGGGGGGUGGCGGCGGGUGUCCAGUGAUUCAGCCACAUGUGAUACAUGACCAAGUAACUGCUUCCUUGGGGUCCGCACAUCAGUGGAAGACACCACACUGGUUGUGGCUGACUUGAUCAAACUCUGGCUCCCCGAACUGGAAUGAAAUGCAGUUAACUCUUUAGAAAACUUUCGCAGGAGAAAAGUGCCUCGUGUGAUCUGGAACAAAGACAUUUUAUAAUCAGAUUUAUCAAGCUGCGAAGAGGGAGUUUUAGCGAACGGAAGCAGCAGCAUUCUGUCACCAGGAAAUACUGCUUUAUCCAGAAUUGAGCCCCUCCAGAAGGCUGUGGAUCACCACCUCCCUGCCAGAAAGGCAUAGGUACCCUCAAUGGCUCAGUAGCCAGUGUAGAUCCUGUCUUUUGUAAUCAGUAGCUACAUCUGGCUACUGGGUCUCUGAUGGCAUCUUCAAGCCUCUGUUACAGCAUCUUGAGCAAGGUUACUGGGAAGUCUUUACCCUGAUUUACAUACACACACACACACACAUGGCUGGAGUGUGGGAACCAUUAAGGAUUAUGAAUAUGAGGUAUAUUUGAUUUCAGUACCACAAGAAGGAAGAAUCCAGAGACCAUAAGAAGGAGGAAUCUUCGAUUGGUUUUCUUUUCUUUUUUCCCCUCUUUUGGAAAGGAACAUCUGGAAGGGAUCAUCUGGUCACAAAGCCAUCUAUCUACCUACCUACUUAUCUACCUAUAUAUCUCAUCCAUCCAUCCAUCCUUCCUUUCAUCUCUUGACUUUUAAAUAGCAUUCUAAGUGCAAUUAAAUAAGGACAGUUGAAUGGUAUGACAGUUUAAGGAACUUACACUUGUAGACUUAGAGUAGGUAAGUCCCAGCAGCACAUUCUGAGCUGCCGUGCCAGUGUGCUAGACACGAUAAAUACCAGGAGCUUUGCAGCAGGCAGUUGUGUUGAAAUCCUUUGUGAGGAGGACUUACAAGUCCAACAUCCAGGUCUGGGGCAUGAACCUGGCAUACAAUGUAGAUUUCUGUGUAUCUUGGGCAACAGCUACAUUGUCUGCUGGGUUUCAGGCUACCUGGAAACACCUUCUCCAUGGUUGUGUCCUCAAGGCUUCACCUAUAUGGGUUUGGAAUAACUUUUCCAGGAGGCAUAAACCAGUGGGCUUUAACAUUGCACAGAGUGUAGAGAAAGGGCCUCAUGACAGCUGAUCACCUUAGCAAAGAAUGAUUCUGUUCUGAUUUUAUCCAAGACGCUCUCAGAUACCAGCCUAGGAAACCCAAUGAACCAGAGAAAAUGGGUGAUGUCAUCCUUCCUUCCUCCUCUCUGCCUUAACUCUCAAAGAUUGAUCACUUAUAUGUUGUUACUAAUUAGUAUUUGGUUUCUGUUGUGAUUACUGUCACAAGCCCAGCACCUAUAUGGGCCCCGUCACACUCACGGUCCCUCAUCUUGGCUUCUCGCCCACAUCCCAGAACCCGAUUUAGCUUUGUUCUCUUUCUGCCACAGCCCUGUAACUUCUGUGAGUGAUUCAGUCUUCCUGAAAUCCAUUUCCCUUACUCUGCCCUAACAUUUCCAUCCUGUCAUUUGCUCCCUGAAGUGAACUCUGGAAUUUAAGUGAACUGGAUUUUUUUACCACCAUUCACCAUCUCUUCUGAAACCAGAAGAGCACCCCCCCCCCCCAAGACUGAUUUAUUCAUCCCAGAGAGAGGGAAAGAUGGGGUAGAGAGAGAAGGGACAGAAGGAGAGGGAGAGAUACAAUCCCAAGCCCACUCACCAUUGAGUGUGGAGCCCAUCAUGGGGCUCGAUCUCAUGACUGACUGAGAUCAUGACCUGAGCCGAAAUCAAGAGUAGGAUGCUUAAUUGACUGAGCCAUCCAGGCACCCCAGACAAGCAACUUUCCUACGGAAUGACAGAGAACUUGUAAAAAUAAGUCCCCGGUUUGCAAGAGAACGGGAAGAAGAUAAUGGAAAUAGCUUCUGGAAAACUACGCUUACAUUGUGUUUUGUUUGCUCCAGGUAAAUAAAUGUAAUCCUCUGAACAGGGGAAAAAAAAAAGACCUAGCAAUUGAAACCAUUACAUUCUCCAUAAGAAAGGAAUAUAACUUUUUGAGAAGUUUUAAACCUGUAGCUAUAUGAAUUUGAAGAUUUUUAGUUAUGUGAUCUGUAUUUUUCAUUAAUGUGAAUUAACAGAUUUAAAGUGGGAAGUGAAUAAUGGGGAAAGGCCUGUAUGUAGUAGUUGAUUAUGGUGAUAAUAAUGCCCUUGUGUCACCCCAUGAUGAAUUCAGUAAAAAUAAAGCUAAUGACUUGGAGUUUUGAAAA